CGUGGUCAUUUCUGGCAGUUGAGAGAAAAGUUUAAACAAGAAAGACUUGUUCAGAGUGCAGAGUCCAUUGUAUUUGUUUAAUACAUCGUAGCAUUUGGUUUCGAGCAAACGCACAACUAAAGAAGUCGUGAUUGAGAGACUGUGAGAGGUAUUCGAUUCCCUAAAUCGUUACCAAUACCAAUCUGGAAAAGAAUCACGGUUCGAUAUUCUGUAAAUUCUGUAGCUCAUUUAAGAACCCCUGAUUAGAAAGAGAACAAAUCUUGUUGUUGAUAAACCCACGAGUUACAAAUGGCGCCCAACGGGUUGAAAUACGAAUAGAGGCAGGUAGUGUGGAGCCGGUCGUGUCGUAGAGGAGCGGGUCGUUUUAGUCCUGUCGUAGAGGAGCCGGUCGUGUCGUUCAGGAGCAAGUCUUGCGUGUCGUGGAGGAGCGGGUCGUUCUGGUCGUGUCGGAGAGAAACGUGUCGUUCCGAUCUUAUUGUAAAGGAGCUGGUGUCGUGAACAUUCUUCAACUUCUUCAGACAUUAUUCCAGUGUACAAUUUCUGAUUUGGACAUACCAGAAAUAUUGUAAUAGAUAAUAGUGACCUUAUAUCAGUUUUCAUCUAAAAAAUCAUUCUAGUUGCUGUCGAAUUGUGUAUUGUUCCUGUCUACUGAGUGUGAGUACUAUUAUUAUCGAAACAAAUUGACAGAUAUUACAGUUACCGUUGUUCUUUUAUAAGUUUUAUAACUUAAAAAAAAGGGAGGGAUGGUUGAUACUGUAAUAUCUGGCAAUUUUCAUGUGUGCUAUUGUAAGUGUGUUAGAAAAAGAUUUCACAUAGUUUCACUAUUGCAUGAAUAUAAAUUAAUAUUCAGAUGAAGGUUCUAUUUACUAAUAUUUCUUUUUAAGUACAAUCUAAUCAUAAUUUCUACUCUUAACAUUUCUUUCAUAAACAUUGAGCUGCCUUUUUGAAGUCCCUGUAAAUUAUUUAAGUAGUAUUUGUUUACAGUUCACUGCAGAUUUCAUAUUCCACUGAAACUAUUGUUUUUUUGCAUUUCCUGUUUCUGGUAAUUUGGUUGGUCAGCAGUUUAUCUCCCUUGGUCUACUUUUUUAUUAUAUUUAUUUGAAAGUCCUAUUAUCUCCUUUUGUGUUGAAAUUUCCGGUUGCUAAUCUGCUGUGUACAUUUUCCAUUUUCUUAAGUUGUGUUGACAUUGACUGACUCUGACCUACGUAGUUGUUGCCAUACAU